AUUGAACGCUGGCGGCAUGCUUUACACAUGCAAGUCGAACGGUAACAGGCCUUCGGGUGCUGACGAGUGGCGAACGGGUGAGUAAUGCAUCGGAACGUACCCAGAGGUGGGGGAUAACGCAGCGAAAGCUGUGCUAAUACCGCAUGUGAUCUGAGGAUGAAAGCGGGGGACCGAGCAGCAAUGUUUGGCCUCGCGCCUUUGGAGCGGCCGAUGUCGGAUUAGCUAGUUGGUGGGGUAAAGGCCUACCAAGGCGACGAUCCGUAGCUGGUCUGAGAGGACGACCACCCACACUGGGACGGAGACACGGCCCAGACUCCUACGGGAGGCAGCAGUGGGGAAUUUUGGACAAUGGGCGCAAGCCUGAUCCAGCAAUGCCGCGUGCGGGAAGAAGGCCUUCGGGUUGUAAACCGCUUUUGGCAGGAACGAAACGGUGUCCGCUAAUACCGGGCGCUAAUGACGGUACCUGCAGAAUAAGCACCGGCUAACUACGUG
rnacentral:rRNA from 1 species